rnacentral:rRNA from 1 species
GACGAACGCUGGCGGCGUGCUUAACACAUGCAAGUCGAACGGAAAGGCCCUGCUUUUGUGGGGUGCUCGAGUGGCGAACGGGUGAGUAACACGUGAGUAACCUGCCCUUGACUUUGGGAUAACUUCAGGAAACUGGGGCUAAUACCGGAUAGGAGCUCCUGCUGCAUGGCGGGGGUUGGAAAGUUUCGGCGGUUGGGGAUGGACUCGCGGCUUAUCAGCUUGUUGGUGGGGUAGUGGCUUACCAAGGCUUUGACGGGUAGCCGGCCUGAGAGGGUGACCGGCCACAUUGGAACUGAGAUACGGCCCAGACUCCUACGGGAGGCAGCAGUGGGGAAUAUUGCACAAUGGGCGGAAGCCUGAUGCAGCAACGCCGCGUGCGGGAUGACGGCCUUCGGGUUGUAAACCGCUUUCGCCUGUGACGAAGCGUGAGUGACGGUAAUGGGUAAAGAAGCACCGGCUAACUACGUG